GUGUUUCACACUCCUGUUUGCAAGUGUCUGCUGCAGAGUGAGCUGUAUGAGCUUCUGGAUGAGAGUGAGAAAGAUUAUCCUGGAUUGUCUGGCUGAGCCCAAUCCCAGGAGUGCUUAAAUGUAGAAAAGCUCAGCAGAAAAGAGCAUCACGGAGAUGGAGGAUGUGAAGACCCAGGCUGCCAUUGCUGGGUUCGAAGAGCGAGGCAAGAGGCCACCAGCCAAAGAAUGCAGUGACCUCUCAGCACUGCCUGUGGUCCUCAAGCUACAGCCAAUGCAGAAGCAGGAACAUAAGUCCUGCAACCAUGAGGAACUGAAUUCUGCCAACAACCCAAACGAGCAGGAAACAAGUUUUCCCCAGGGACCUUCAGAAAGGAGGACCAUCAGCCCACACCUUGAUUUUAUUCCACUGGGACCCAAGCUGGUCUUCUGACCUGCAAAACCAGACGGUUGCAGAGAAGAGAACCAGAACCCCAUCUGCUCUCCAGGGCGGAGGAGCAGGCACACAGGUUGGCGGGUGAACCAUGAGAAGAGCGGGGGUGGACAGAGCUGCCGGGAGUCACUGACUUCACGGUCACGGCAUUUAAGGAAGCACGGAUGAUACUCUUCCUGAUAAGGCAUGACAUCUGCGUGGGACCAUCGCGGAGGGUCUCAAGACAGACGUGGAUCUUUGGGGACUCGGUGGAUGUACUAUUUUCCAGCGUGUGUUUUGAGGAACAAGGGUUCAGCAUUUCAUCAGAUUCCCCAAGAAGGCUUUGAAUCUAAAAAGGCCAAGGAUUCUAUUAAUAAACGUUGUGACUCCACGCGUGGAUGGAAGCAGGGUCCCUGCCUAAGCCACGCCAACGCCCGUGGGGGCUUCUCCCAACUCGUCUAGCUCAAGAUAACCAAAAUUUAUGCCAAGCAAAGAAAUGCACGUUUCACUGAUUUUAUUACCUUUUCCUCAGGGGAGGGCAAAAAAAGGGGGGAAAAAUUAAGUUGUCAACAGGUACAAUUUUGGACUCACUUGUAAGAAGGUGGAAGUGUAGACAAAAUGCCACGUGGAAAGUGUAGAUAAAAAUCACUAUUUUAUCCGGGACCAGCAGCUUCCUUCUCACAGUACCAGGCCUCAGCCUGGCCACAGUUGCCUAAGGUAAUGUGAUGAAACGUCUGGAAACCAUGAUUAAUGGUUCUUACUUAUCUCCUAUUAAAAUGCCUAGCGGCCUUUGCAUAUGGGUGCCUGAAGCUUUUAAAAGCAUUCAUUUAUUUUUCUUAGCAUCAUUGUAUCCCGACAUUACAUUGCUUUAGCACUUUGCAAAAAUUCUGUAAAACUAAUAGGGGAAGUAAGUUUUCUGGCUCUGCAUGGGGUGGACAUUUCUCUGUAAAAGAGUCAACUUUUUUUUUUUUUUUUUAACUCAGAGCUUCUGUUUUUCCAUAGA